ACUAUGGGCAGAAGGAAUAUCACUCACGUGUCUGACUUCAUCCUCAUGGGACUGACAGACUCUGAAGCGAUCCAGCUGAUCCUCUUCACCCUUUCUCCUGAUAUACCUGAUCACUGUGCUGGGCAAUGCAGGAAUGAUGUUGAUAAUCUGCCUCAAUCUCCAUCCUCACACCCCCAUGUAUUUUUUCCUCAGUCACCUGUCAUUUCUUGACCUCAGUUUCUCAACAGCUGUCACCCCUAAAACUUUAGACAACUUAGUGACUUCCAACAGGUAUAUUUCAUACCUUAACUGCUUCAUCCAGAUGAAUUGUUUUGUCUUCGUGGUGUCACUGAAUGUGUUCUUCUCUCAUCCAUGGCCUAUGAUUGCUAUGUAGCCAUCUGCAACCCUCUGCAUUACCCAGCUAUUAUGUCCACCAGACGUUGCUGCUCUCUUAUCUUUAUUGGCUUCAUGGACACCUUUGUCAAUGUGCUUUUCUUGAGCAGGUUGCAUUUCUGUGACUCUAGUUUUUUUUUCUGUGAUGCAACCCCAAUUUUAGCCCUGUCCUGCACUGACACACAUUAUAUCGAAAUCACAAUAUCCAUUUCUGCUGGCUCAACCCUAGUGUGUCUCUUUUCACAAUAUCUGUGUCCUAUGCGUCCAUCCUGUACACUGUCCUGAAAAUUACUUCCACUUCAGGGAAGCAAAAAGCCUUCUCUACCUGUGCCUCCCAUCUCCUGUCAUUCACCAUCUUUUACGGUACUACAAUUUUACUUACAUAAAACCAAGUAAGCCCUACUCUUUGGGAAAGGAUCAAGUGGCUUCUGUUUUUUAUAGCAUUGUCAUCCCCUUGCUGAAUCCGCUCAUAUACAGUCUUUGA
rnacentral:lncRNA from 1 species